rnacentral:rRNA from 1 species
UACGUAGGGCGCAAGCGUUGUCCGGAAUUAUUGGGCGUAAAGAGCUCGUAGGCGGUUUGUUGCGUCGGCUGUGAAAUCCCGAGGCUCAACCUCGGGUCUGCAGUCGAUACGAGCAAACUAGAGUGUUGCAGGGGAGACUGGAAUUCCUGGUGUAGCGGUGAAAUGCGCAGAUAUCAGGAGGAACACCGGUGGCGAAGGCGGUUCUCUGGGCAUUACCUGACGCUGAGGGGCGAAAGUGUGGGGAGCGAACAGG